ensembl:lncRNA ITGA9-AS1 ITGA9 antisense RNA 1
UCCCGGCCCGGGGACCGGCCUCCGCCGCGGGCUCUGCCCGCUCGCCUGCUCGCCUGGUGGGGGAGAGGGGAGCGGGGCCGACACAGGACUGCAGUUGACAGCAGAUAACUGAAAGCUCGGAAAGCGAAACCGUGGAUAAGCAGGGGAACUGUGGCAUCCCAUUUAAAAUUGCUUCUGAAGAGAAGCAUGAGGUUACAUCUGUAAUCUCCCUGCAGCAGAGUCAACUGCAUAAGAAACCAAAAGACACACCUGCUCCAUGCCAGCUUCGAUAAUUUCUUUGUACCUUCGGCGAAAGAAGCCCAUCUGAAAGGCAGAAAGAAAGAGAAGCUGAGUUAGAAGUGCUGAAGAAUCAGCCAUUGUGACCCCAAGGCAGUCUGUCCCUGGCCUAAGCCACCACAUAAAAAGUCAGACCAUCUGCUGGAAGAACCACAUGGAGAGGCCCUGAGUCAACAUGGAGAGGAAGAAGGACUUGACUGAAUCCAGCCUUCCAGCUGUCCCUACCAAGGUGCCAGGCAUGAGAAUGAAGCUGUCUUGAACUCUGAAGACCAGCUUAGCCACCAGAGGCUGUCUCAGCAGGAAGGAGUUGGAGUUGGAGAAAAAGGAGAAUUAAGAAUCUAUCUGGCGAUGUGGAUUAAAUAAACAACAAAUUGGCAGAUUGUUUUUAAAAGAACUUCCAGCUUCUAGAGACUACUAGUCAAUUAGAAAAAUAAAUGCAUCAUUAUAACUGUGGAAGUGCUACAAAGGAGAAGUUCAUGAUGAUAAAAGAUCCUCAUGAUAGAGGCAUGGGAGUGAACAGAGUUCCCUGAGGAGCCAUUUGAGCUGAAGGUGAAAGGACAAGCAGAAGUUUACCAGCUAAACAAGGGAGGGAAGAUCAUUCCAAGGAGAGGGAACAUGAUGUGCAAACCCCCUUUGGCAUGAGUGAACUUGGCAAGGGUGAGACACUGCCAUUGGACAGUGAACUGGAGCCAACAGGAUGAACAAGAAGCAGCGGGAAGAUGUUCAUGAUAUGCUGGAGAGACAGGAGCUGGAGGCUGCAGUAAGAUCUCCAUGCUUUACCUUAAGAGGAAUGAGAAGCCACUGGAGGAUUUUGAGCAGGGCAGUGAUGUGAUUUGCAUUUUGCAAAGUACACUGCAAAAUGAAUCUAGGUCAGAAGAGAUAACUGAAUGUGGGAGUACAAGGAAAAAGCCCCCGUGAGAGGGCUGCGGGGGAAAUGGUUUCCCCAGGUUAGAUCCACGCUUUCAGUAAGAAAGGAGGUGGUGUGAAAGGAGAAGAUUGACUGAGGAGGAGGAGAAGUCUGCUGGUUUUGGGGGAGUGGCUGUGAGGGUCGUAGCAGGCUGAGCUGGGGAAGGCAGGAGCUCUGGCCAGUGAAGGGAUGGCUGAUGGCCUGGUGCGGACCCUGGCUGGAGGGCUCACACACUGGACGCUGACUAACAAAACAGACGAAAAUGGGGAGUAUGAGGAUCUGUCUCAAGGGGGCCUUUGAGGAGGGCAAACAGGCCUUUGAGACAGGUCCAGACACUGGCACCCUGCCUGCUUCUGUAGAAUUUAACGUACCUGAGGUUGCCAAGCUGGUGUCAUGGAGUGGCCAGAAGCCAGCUUCCAGUCUGAGGCAGUGGGUGAACCUAAACCACACUAUUUGAUUCACUUCUGUGUUUCUGGAAACUUUUAUGUUCUGAUCAAUGCAAAUAUGCCUACUGUAACAGCUGGCAAUGCCCAUGUCUCCACAAGGCCUGAGAAUAUGAUCACAAUGGCAGUACAUCUCACCCAGGCUUCUGCUGGAUGGAGGGCUUCCAGAGACGGAGGGACAGCUCGGUCAAUACCAUCCAAGAGGAGGUUCAACUCCAGACCUAGGCCAGCUGAAGGUCAAUGACAAGGGCAAGAUGCUCUCUGCAGUCAACAUCACACACUUGUCUCAAUAGAAGGAAGGAAUUUAUAUAAAAUAAGAAGUGGAAAGAGAAUAACAUCUGUGACAGUGAGAUGACAUUUCCACCCGAUUCUGAUUCCAUCUAAUAGCCAGUGCAGGUGUGGGGGAGGGAGGAGGGAGACAGGGUGGUUGGGGCUGGAAUAAAUGUUUUCAGCAGAACCAUGCCUCAGAUGGCUCUCAGAACUCAGCCUAGAAGGCAAGCCAGUUCAGAGGCACAGGGAGACUUAUGGAGACGACAUAAAUGAACAGAAAAUAAACUGUACAUUUGGCAAGACUGGCACUGUAAGUCUGUGCUGUGAUGAACAGAGAUGUCAAACAUGCCCCAUGCCUGCCAGGUGUCAUGUUUCCAAAAUCCCUUUCUCUGUCAGAGUUUGCAGAGGAAUGAGCUGGGCUUUCUAAUUCCUGUUACUGGUAAUGGAUCACAUUUGUAGAGUACUUACUAUGCACCAGGCACCAUGCUGAGAGGUUUACUAUCUACUACUCCCCAUAAUCCUCACAUUGCUCUUGAGAGAGAGAGGGAUGGAGCUCAUUUACCUCAAGCGAUGGAGAAUCCCGAGGAGUCUUCAUUCUCCCCUUGACUGCACAUCUGUGCAUCUAGUUAAGGACCAGGACACAAUGGGAAGAGUUCCAAAGCCAACUGACCACCAAAUAAGUCUGAGCAUGAUGUGCUCCUGAGGCCAUUAGAGCCAAGGGUCACUCCUAAGACAGAGGGUCAGCUGUCUACCACCCAGGAAUGCGAUUCCUCCCACCUGCUCUGUGUGUGGGCUCUGGGCUACAGGACAGCACAGGCCAGAGGGGUAAGGGGUCAAGGGAGACUCAGGGCUCGCCAACAGGCAGAGCUGUGGCCAGAAAUUCCUCUUCCACUGACCGGCUGUGGGGCAUCCAGCAGGCUCCUUCACUCCCGGAGCCUCUGUUCCAAAGAAGAUGGAAGUUGUAGUGCCUAGUUCACAGGGGUGAUGUCAGAGUGACAGGAGGUAAUCAUAGCACAUGCCUAGCACUUCACAGGAAUUCAGCAGAUUCGAGCACACCUCACACAAUGAGGUCAUUCAUCUUAAUGGGACAUGGACACGCACACUGAGCACAGCACCCAAGCUCUGAGUGCAGAACAUUUCCAUCUGUGGCCAAGACUCGGUUCUCUGCCCAGAUCCUUUUGGGUCCCCUCUCUUGAUUUGGCCUGCCCAGCCCCCAGGUUUGUCAUGCCUUCACUUCUAGAGGCCUGCCUCACUUUUAGAGGGUAAAGUGGCUUGGGGUUACUACCUCUGGAACAGCCCCAACCAAUGACUGGCAGAUACAGGAGUGUGAGACCCCAGCUCCCCUGCUUCCAGGCAGGACCAACUCCGAGGUCAAGAUCAGGGUGGAGCUAAGAUGGUCCCUGAAAUCUCACCCUUGCUUCCCUUCUCCUCUUUCCUAUCCUGUCCCAUUUAUUUCUGGGUCUCAUUA